rnacentral:rRNA from 1 species
UAGCGGCAGGCCUAACACAUGCGAGUCGAGGGGUAAGGUUCAGCUUGCUGAAUAGCGACCGGCGCACGGGUUGAGUAACACGUUUGCAAGCUUCCUCUAACUGGAGAAUAGCCCGAAGAAAUUCGUGAUUAAUACUCCAUAAAGUCAAUUUAAGGCAUCUUUUAUUGAUUAAAGCUCCGGCGGUUAGAGAUGGGCAUGCGUGUCAUUAGCUAGUUGGUGAGGUAACGGCUCACCAAGGCCACGAUGACUAGGGGGUCUGAGAGGAUGAUCCCCCACACUGGUACUGAGACACGGACCAGACUCCUACGGGAGGCAGCAGUGAGGAAUAUUGGGCAAUGGACGCAAGUCUGACCCAGCCAUGCCGCGUGCAGGAUGACUGCCCUAUGGGUUGUAACUGCUUUUGUUUGGGAAGAAACCCCCGAUCGUGAUCGGGGCUGACGGUACCAUACGAAUAAGCAUCGGCUAACUCCGUGCCAGCAGCCGCGGUAAUACGGAGGAUGCAAGCGUUAUCCGGAUUCAUUGGGUUUAAAGGGUGCGCAGGCGGAAUAUUAAGUCAGUGGUGAAAUCCUGCAGCUUAACUGUAGAACUGCCAUUGAUACUGAUAUUCUUGAAUAUAGUUGAGGUGGGCGGAAUGUGUAAUGUAGCGGUGAAAUGCUUAGAUAUUACACAGAACACCAAUUGCGAAGGCAGCUCACUAAACUAAUAUUGACGCUGAGGCACGAAAGCGUGGGUAGCAAACAGGAUUAGAUACCCUGGUAGUCCACGCUGUAAACUAUGAUCACUCGCUGUUGGCAAUACAUCGUCAGCGGCUGAGCGAAAGCG